GCCGGUUUAGCUCAUUGGUAGAGCACCUGACCUAUAAUCAGUAUGUCGUUGGUUGGAUACCUGCAACCGGCA
rnacentral:tRNA from 1 species